AAACUGCGAAUGGCUCAUUAAAACAGUUAUAGUUUAUUUGAUGGUCUCUAUUACAUGGAUAACCAUGGUAAUUCUAUGGCUAAUACAUGCGCAAUCGCCUCCUUCUCUGGAGGGGCUGUGUUUAUUAGAUACAAAACCAACCCACUUUGUGGAGUCCUGGUGAUUCAUAGUAACCGAACGGAUCGCAGUUGGCUUCGGCCCGCGAUGGAUCAUUCAAGUUUCUGACCUAUCAGCUUUCGACGGUAGG
rnacentral:rRNA from 1 species